UGAGGAAGAGCCCUGAAAUAAUCAGUCGUCGAAUGACCUUCGCUCUUACCGGUUACUUGCUCAUUUUUAUGAGGUUCUCAUAUCGAGUCCAGCGCCAAUACUGGCUCCUCUUCGCAUACCACAUGGCCAAUGUGACGGCACAAACGAUCCAGGGAGGCCGGCUCAUCCGACACAAAAUGCAGAAGAAAAAUGUGAAAUGAGCCUUUGCGUCCGUAAAGAAAUCUCCCCUCCUGCCGCCCCCCCAAAUAAAUAUUUAUAUAAAUUUAUAUAUCUGUGUAUUCAUUUCUUUCAUUUUUCUUAUUAUGAAACCACACGUGAGUAGGGGCAAUUCACUGCCCAUACAAAGUGCGAGGGGAUAACAUUUACCUAAUGAAGACUGUAGUCCUGUAUUAGACAAAAUCAUUUUAUCAUAUGGGUCAGUUACAGUUACCUACAUAAGAACAUAAGAUAUUUACAAACGAGAGGAGAC